rnacentral:rRNA from 1 species
GACGAACGCUGGCGGCGUGCCUAAUACAUGCAAGUCGAGCGAACAGACGAGGAGCUUGCUCCUCUGACGUUAGCGGCGGACGGGUGAGUAACACGUGGAGAACCUACCUAUAAGACUGGGAUAACUUCGGGAAACCGGAGCUAAUACCGGAUAAUAUAUUGAACCGCAUGGUUCAAUAGUGAAAGACGGUUUUGCUGUCACAUUUAGAUGGAUCCGCGCUGCAUUAGCUAGUUGGUAAGGUAACGGCUUACCAAGGCGACGAUGCGUAGCCGACCUGAGAGCGUGGUCGGCCACACUGGACCAGAGACAGGGUCCAGACUCCUACGGGAGGCAGCAGUAGGGAAUCUUACGCGAUGGGCGAGAGCCUGACGGAGCAACACCGCGUGAGUGAUGAAGGUCUUCGGAUCGUAAAGCUCUGUUAGUAGGGGAAAACAAAUGUGAAAGUGGCUAUGCACGUCGUGACGGUACCUGAACAAAAAGCCACGGCUAACUACGUG